GAUUACAGUGUCAAAAGGUCUGAACCCACCAGUGCUUGCACAAUGGUGGGAGAAUGACCUUGAGACACGCCCCGAUAUGAGCAUGAAAGUGGAGCGCAAGCUUCACGAUAUGCGAAUAUUGGGAGAAUUGUGAGAGUGCGGAGCACGAAACAAUUCGUG
rnacentral:sRNA from 1 species